CGGGCGUUAAGUUGCAGGGUAUAGACCCGAAACCCGGUGAUCUAGCCAUGGGCAGGUUGAAGGUUGGGUAACACUAACUGGAGGACCGAACCGACUAAUGUUGAAAAAUUAGCGGAUGACCUGUGGCUGGGGGUGAAAGGCCAAUCAAACCGGGAGAUAGCUGGUUCUCCCCGAAAGCUAUUUAGGUAGCGCCUCGUGAAUUCAUCUCCGGGGGUAGAGCACUGUUUCGGCUAGGGGGCCAUCCCGGCUUACCAACCCGAUGCAAACUGCGAAUACCGGAGAAUGUUAUCACGGGAGACACACGGCGGGUGCUAACGUCCGUCGUGAAGAGGGAAACAACCCAGACCGCCAGCUAAGGUCCCAAAGUCAUGGUUAAGUGGGAAACGAUGUGGGAAGGCCCAGACAGCCAGGAUGUUGGCUUAGAAGCAGCCAUCAUUUAAAGAAAGCGUAAUAGCUCACUGGUCGAGUCGGCCUGCGCGGAAGAUGUAACGGGGCUAAACCAUGCACCGAAGCUGCGGCAGCGACGCUGAUGCGUUGUUGGGUAGGGGAGCGUUCUGUAAGCCUG
rnacentral:rRNA from 1 species